UAGGAAAGGCAUGCAAUCGCUGCUUUAAUUUUAAGCAGAGGAAAGUCUGGACUUCACAGGUGAAGAUACCAGAGAAAACCUGGGGGCCGCAAGGCUACGGAAAGUGCAACAGAAAACAUGUCCACUGCAUUUUUUUUGCAGGCAGAGUGAAAAAUUUGACUUUGAGAGUCAAACAUACUUAAGGCAACUUAAGGUGCUGCAAACCCUAUCUGAAGCAAGACCUAAAAAAGGGAAUGACUUAUCACCAGAGUUUUCCCUGUGGAUUGGUCGCAUGAGGGCUUUGGUGACAAAGCCCCUAGAUAAAUGAUUGCACAGCUUUUUAGCUGAACAGAAUCCGGCUUACAGACUUUUCCUAAAAA
rnacentral:RNase_P_RNA from 1 species